UUGAACGCUGGCGGCAGGCCUAACACAUGCAAGUCGAGCGGUAGCACAGAGAGCUUGCUCUCGGGUGACGAGCGGCGGACGGGUGAGUAAUGUCUGGGAAACUGCCUGAUGGAGGGGGAUAACUACUGGAAACGGUAGCUAAUACCGCAUAAUGUCGCAAGACCAAAGUGGGGGACCUUCGGGCCUCAUGCCAUCAGAUGUGCCCAGAUGGGAUUAGCUAGUAGGUGGGGUAACGGCUCACCUAGGCGACGAUCCCUAGCUGGUCUGAGAGGAUGACCAGCCACACUGGAACUGAGACACGGUCCAGACUCCUACGGGAGGCAGCAGUGGGGAAUAUUGCACAAUGGGCGCAAGCCUGAUGCAGCCAUGCCGCGUGUGUGAAGAAGGCCUUCGGGUUGUAAAGCACUUUCAGCGGGGAGGAAGGCGUUGAGGUUAAUAACCUUGGCGAUUGACGUUACCCGCAGAAGAAGCACCGGCUA
rnacentral:rRNA from 1 species